CAUGGAUAAAUGCUUCCCACUCCCUGAAGGUCCUUCGUGGCAGAGAGGAGCUUGGGGAAUGAGGACUUGGGGUAGGGAAGAACAAGACAGAGCCAGGGACUGAAAGUUAAGGGUCCAGGAACAAGACCACUCAUACUUGGAUCCUUGGGGUCCUCAUUUGGAAGUAGGGGGAAUCAUUGCCCUGGCUGAGGUGAGGAUGCCUUCUGAGAAAACUAGACACCCCAGAGGGGAGUGGCAAAGAGGGCGGCAGGAGUGUCUUCUGAGGUCCCUUCCACAGCCCUGAAAUCCUUCAGGGCCUGCUGUUUUACUCCUGGGACUCCGGAGAGCCUUUGCCUUGAGGUCACCCAAAGAAAGAUUCCUGCCUGGGGCUGCAGUGCUAGUGCUGGCCACCAGGGGACAGGCAGCCUCCUGGUUCAUGGUGCCCACUGAGCUUUGCUGGAGCAAUUGGGGCAGGAAGAGCCAUGCAGAAUGUCAUUUCGGCCACGCCUCUGCUUCAGAAACAAUAUGCACCUCCUACGAUUAGUGAUCAUUUCUACAGAAUGAGCUGGGCAGAGGCAGGAAGAAGAGCUCCAAGAUCUCCCCAUUUAUUUAUUUAUUCGGAGAUUUAUUUAUUUAUUUAUUCCGAGAUUAUGGCUCACCCUGUGCCAGGUGCCAAAUGGUCUCUCUCUUCCAGGAGCUUUCAGUCUGGAGGAGAGAAGGACAAAAGCACAGAAGCAAGACAUGUGAAAGAAAAGAAGCUCCACCCAGGACAUUGUCAAGGAGCUGGUUGAUGGGUUCAACUCCUCCAUCUCACUAGACAAGGGGCAGAUGCAUCUGGCGAUGAACAAUGGCCAACACUGGUCUGGGUCUCAUGCUGGGUGGAUCUUCUCUGCAACAUGGUCAGUCUGAAAUGGAGACCGUAUUUUUUCACUGUGCAGGAGAAGAGAUCUUGUUUCUAUCCUGAAUCACCAUCUACCUCACUUACCAGAGAUAAUGGAGAAAAACAAAUUCAUUCACAAUUGGAAAGGGAAAUGGAAGAUGGUACCCCUAUUCUCUAAAUAUAUUUGAUUUAAAUGAAGAAGAUCCCUUUAAUCACACUCACGGAGAUGCGUAACAUUAAAAUUUGUUGUGGAUAGCAGUGUCUGUCCAUGUGUUACUGAAUAAAGCACUACCGCACAACGAGUAAA